CUUCCAUGUCCAUUCAUACCCUGGGUGUAGACAUGUCCUAACAUUCACAGGUGAAGAGACUUCCACUUUGUAUUGCCUACAGAUUUUAAAAAAUCCUCUUUCAUUGUUUCCACACCAAAGGCUAAAAUACAGUAAAUUCAGUGCUACCUUUCUUCCUUCCUGUGCCAUCCCUUUCUGAGAAGAGAUGGCAACACCGGCAACUGCCUGCUGGACUAUAAAGAACACUGGUGUAGCUUCACAAUCAAGAUCUAACAAGACAAGUUUCUUCUGUGAUGAUACUGCUACUGCUUUUCCAAAGAAGAUUAAGGAGCACCUUGGUUGUAGUGAUCUUUGCAAUCCCUAAGAAUCUCAUAUUGAACUCUGUCAAAAGUUAAUUGAGUCUCAUCUCAGGCAACAUAGCAUGAAGUAAUGCCAAGGCUACACAGUCUGUUCCUGUUUAGAGUUCUUGAGAAGACACAUACCCAGUUGACUUCUUUGCAUGUGUCAUUUAAGGGUGUGAAGCCUGUAGGUAAGGUAACAGCCCCAGAAAAAGCACGUUAACUUCAACUGCUGUGCACUGGAGAAAAUCUCCAUGAGUAGCACAAUAUUGCCUUUCUCUUAAGCUGGCACUUACACAUCCUUGCAGUGAGGAACCGAUGUAUUUUUAUGUGGAAUGUUUUCUAUGUAAGUCCUAAUGAUGUGGAGGCUAGGUAAGCCACAUACUAAAUUAGAAUUGAAGCAGACAGCGUUCUGUACAUAACAAGUAGUUAUCCUGUACUUUCAGAGGGAAUGUUUUCACUGUGAGUAAUAUAAGAAUAUAGUAGUAACUUCUGCCUUAAAGGGGACACUGGCAAGACCAACAAGAUUUUUUAAAAUUAGUUUUUAAUGUCUUUGCUUGACUACUGAUAAUAAUUCAGGUUUUCAAUGGUGACAGCAUGUAUAGAAGGUUCUCCUCAUUGAUUAGGUUUGCUUACUUUGUGUAAGAUGAACAGCAAAACUAAAUCAGUCAAUUUAUUGCCAGUGCACUGAUAAAUGAGUUGUCAAUAUGGGUUUCUAACUAGGGUUCAAUGGUCCAUAUGUAACCUCUUCCUUUGUCAUUAUGAGGGAUGUUUCCUUUUAUAUUUUGUUCUUUUUGUCAGAAUAAGGCUAAGAUUAAAAUCACUGCUUUAAAAAUGUGCAAAUAUAUUUAGACCCCAACUUGGUAAAAAU
rnacentral:lncRNA from 1 species